rnacentral:misc_RNA from 1 species
GGAGAAGAAAUUACUGUAUUGCCUUCCAUCCCACUUACACAAUGUUGAUACAUCUUUAUCCCAUGUUGUUCAUCUGUUACAUCAGAGGGGAUAGUUCCGUAAUCAGGUUGUGCAGAAGAGCAAUUAGCUAUCCUUUCAGUUUGAUGAGCAUCAGGUCCAGAAGCAUGUGAAGGAAGACUAUUUCUACAUUCCGACAUAUCAUUCAAGACACCAUCAACUAUAUCAAGACUUGAUUCAACAGGGAAAGUAGCACCUUUAUCAUCCUGGUUGAGCUU